rnacentral:rRNA from 1 species
UACGGAGGAUCCGAGCGUUAUCCGGAUUUAUUGGGUUUAAAGGGUGCGCAGGCGGGAGAUUAAGUCGGCGGUGAAAUUUUGCAGCUCAACUGUAAAAGUGCCUUCGAAACUGGUUUCCUUGAGUGUAGAUGAAGUAGGCGGAAUUUGUGGUGUAGCGGUGAAAUGCAUAGAUAUCACGAGGAACUCCGAUUGCGCAGGCAGCUUACUAAGCCAUAACUGACGCUCAAGCACGAAGGCGUGGGGAGUCAAACAGGAUUAGAUACCCGGGUAGU